rnacentral:tRNA from 1 species
GCCCGAUUGAUGGAACUGGCAGACAUAGCAGUCUUAGAAGCUGCGGCUUAGGCGUGAGAGUUCGAGUCUCUCAUUGGGCA